UCUGCCGCAGAGCAGCUUCCGUGCCACACGGUGGUGCUGGAGCACAGAACGCUCUCCACCACAGAUCUGUAGAAAGAGGAGAGGACUGACCUCCUGAGUCCAGCACGCCUAGCCUUCUGAGGACGUAGAGGCGCUGAGGUGCCUUCCUGAUCAGGCUGGAAGUGUUAUUACUCCAGAUGCAGACAUUGUUCUCACUGCACCAGCUCUCCAGGUGUUCCACCUCCUGCCUUUAGCCAGACUCAUCACUAUCUGUGAUGCAUCCCGCCGCUGCCGUGCCGCCCGCACACUUUACAGUAUGACCGCCUGGAUGGACAGUUAUAUGUGAGCAGUGUAAACAGGAGGGGGCUCAGCACACAGCCCUGAGGGGAGCCGCUGCUGGGGAUGAUGGUGGAGGAGAUGUGGAGGUCCAGGACCCAAUGACAGAGAGAGGUGCUCAGUCCCAGUGUGUGGAGUUUGUAAGCCAGGGUCUGGGGAAUCCACGAAGAGCAAACGGACGUGAGAGUCCUUACUCUCCAGCCACCUCUUCACCAUGGAACUUGCCCAGGAAGACUGCUCCCUGCGCCCCGCUCCCCACCCACUGUAGCUCCGAGAUCUCCUCAAAUGGCACCUCCCAGGAUUCUGAGGGAGACAGUUUUUUGCUAAUUUUCUCAAAAUGACUACGGACCAGUUUUCCUGACACUGAUUCAUUAUAGAUUAACUGUAGGUCUUUCAACCAGGUCUUUCGGGCAACAGCUGCCUCCAACAGACUUAAGCUAUGUCUAGAAACCUGGCUAUAAUCCCUUUAAGCCUAAAGGACCCAUAUGCGGGUCCACGGUUCAGUUCUUCUUAACUGCACAGUUUACACGUUCAUUUCCUAGUAGCUCCUGAAUCAUUUGUAGUAUGCAUUAAAUACAUCUUCAGCUUAAUAACGGAAUAACAAGGCUUAAAUGAUCAGUAAUUCAUGGUUGUGCACACAAGUGGAGAGCUAUGCAAGCAAAGAUAUUUAAAUAAAAUGAAGGUUCCUAAAUGGU